AUUGAACGCUGGCGGCAUGCUUUACACAUGCAAGUCGAACGGUAACAGGCCGCAAGGUGCUGACGAGUGGCGAACGGGUGAGUAAUGCAUCGGAACGUGCCCAGUCGUGGGGGAUAACUACUCGAAAGAGUAGCUAAUACCGCAUACGAUCUAUGGAUGAAAGCGGGGGACCGUAAGGCCUCGCGCGAUUGGAGCGGCCGAUGUCAGAUUAGGUAGUUGGUGGGGUAAAGGCUCACCAAGCCAACGAUCUGUAGCUGGUCUGAGAGGACAACCAGCCACACUGGGACUGAGACACGGCCCAGACUCCUACGGGAGGCAGCAGUGGGGAAUUUUGGACAAUGGGCGCAAGCCUGAUCCAGCAAUGCCGCGUGCAGGAAGAAGGCCUUCGGGUUGUAAACUGCUUUUGUACGGAACGAAACGGCUCUGGUUAAUACCCGGGGCUAAUGACGGUACCGUAAGAAUAAGCACCGGUUAACUACGUG
rnacentral:rRNA from 1 species